CAGCCAACAAGGCCUUUACUGACGCUAAAGCUCGAAGGUGCGGGUAUCGAACAGGAUUAGAUACCCUGGUAGUCCGCACGGUAAACGAUGGAUGCCCGCUGUUUGCGAUAUACUGUGAGCGGCCAAGAGAAAUCGUUAAGCAUCCCACCUGGGGAGUACGCCGGCAACGGUGAAACUCAAAGGAAUUGACGGGGGCCCGCACAAGCGGAGGAACAUGUGGUUUAAUUCGAUGAUACGCGAGGAACCUUACCCGGGCUUGAACUGCCAGCGAACGAUUCAGAGAUGAUGAGGUCCUUCGGGACGCUGGUGGAGGUGCUGCAUGGUUGUCGUCAGCUCGUGCCGUGAGGUGUCGGCUUAAGUGCCAUAACGAGCGCAACCCUUUUCUUUAGUUGCCAUCAGGUAAUGCUGGGCACUCUGGAGAUACUGCCACCGUAAGGUGUGAGGAAGGUGGGGAUGACGUCAAAUCAGCACGGCCUUUACGUCCGGGGCUACACACGUGUUACAAUGGGGGGUACAGAGAGUCGGUGCAUGGUAAUGUGCAUCUAAUCCUAAAAGCCUUCCUCAGUUCGGAUUGGGGUCUGCAACCCGACCCCAUGAAGCU
rnacentral:rRNA from 1 species